UUCCUCGGGUUACCAGUUUGCUCCCAUCAGCCAGCACUUGGCUUUUGGGCUGGGGUAGGGGUGUCAGGGUGAUGCACACGGAUGUGGCGGCUUCACUGGGGGGGAGGCGCUUUUCUUCCCCCUUCUUGAAGUCCCAGUUCAAGGCCCAGGAACAAAGGGAGAGGUAACUGAUCUGUCCUCUGGUCUCUCUCCCUUCACUUCCACCCCCCUCACCUGCAGACCUGCAGGCCCUCCUCCUUGAUAAACAGAGGAAAGCCUGUGAGUUCAGGUACACAAGUAAGUAGUGCUGACCUGCGAGGCUCCCCCACUGAAAAUCAAAAACCCCAUUUUAGGUGUGCCUUGAGUCCCCACCACCUCCUCUCCCCCAGAUGUCACUGGACCCAAGGCUAUCUGCUUAGCCUCCCUCUCUUGUGAAAAACAUCCAGGACAACUAUUAAAUAGUUCCUGGAAGAGUUAAAGACAUCUCUCAGGUUUGAAACAGUUUUUUAAAGCCCUGUUUGGAAGAAAUCUUGGAGAAGUACAAAGCAUAAUCAGUAGGAUGGCCCGAGCAAGUUUGAAAGAUUUCUCCCCCAAAACGUUAACUAAAAAGAGUUUGUAGGUGUUGUUUUCUUUACUGAUGGGUGUUUCCCUGUUGUAACCUACAGAUUCUCAAGACCAAGCUAGUAAGACAUUUAGUUUCAUUUUGGUAGUUUCUGGGUGACACGAUACUUUCCGAUUAGACCUAAUUUAUUUAUUUUUUAAAACCUCUGCUGGAGAGUUUUCAACCUUGGAAAUAUAAAUGAAGCAUAGACUCUCCCUCCGAGAUUCUCACAUGGGCAGAAUGGAAGGACCCUGCCUGGCUCCCCUUCACACCUGGAAGUUGCCCUGCCUGAACCUAGAGUGCAGUGUCCCAGUCGGCUAAAUGGGCUUGUCUUCUGCCAGGAGGGACACAGUCCUGCAGGACAGAACAAAUGUUGGAUCUCCCAGGAAGCUCUUCGUCAAAACAUCCCUUGCCCUUUUGUUUUUGUUUUUGAAUUAAAAGAUGCGUUUUCUUUCCUCUCA